UGUGAGCACGUGGCAACAGGAAACGGAAUAAGCUGCCUCCCUCUUUACUAACCUGCAUAGCAACCGCACGCGCGUGCUGUCCCCCUCCUCUUUCCUCGCGCAGCGCCGCUCGGAGCCAAUCACGUCGGCCCGUUCCCUGUGACGUCUUGUUUGUUGACACUUCCAUUAGCUCGCCACCUGCGUGACGUCACUGCAGCAGGUCGGGGUUGGGGAGCAGACAAAGAGCGUCAGAGAUCAGGUGCGAGGUCUCACUCUGCGGUGUUUUUGUCAGCUCAGUGAGCAGCUCUGCCUGGAGACACCGCGCGCUGAUCGGUUACAGAGCCGGACGAGGCUCGCGGGACACGAGGAGGUCCACGAGGUGCGACGAUGGGAGGAGAUCAGAGCCGCGAGAGGACGGAGAGAGACGAGGAAAAACCCGAAGACACGGCCAAACCUGACGACUCACAGUCACAGUCUGCUGCUUCUGAAGACACACCAGGAGAGCUGCCCCAGUGCCAGAUGGGGAACAGGAAGGUGGACAACAUGUGCUUCAUGAUCUCGUGCACCAACUGGUACUAAAUGGGUCUGAAACUGGAGAUGUCCUACAUGCUGGCCUGCAUCGAUCCAUCGAUGAGUGAUGGGAUGAGACACCUUCACAGCUCCAUGAAUCUAAAGUCCACAGAUGAUGAGCAGCCUCUGUCUCAUCUACAUAUCCCAAGAACCUUCUGAGAUGAUGUUCCUACUUGUACAACCUUCUGAGAACUUGUCCACAAGUUCAACAUGUUUGAAGUCCUCCACACGGCCAUUGGAGGCUCUUGGAGAUGUUCUAUCUAGUAAAUGAAGGUCUCUAAACUAGCUUUGCAUCCUUCUUAGUAGUCACAGAUUGAAGUGGAUAUUGUACGCUGUCUCAACAUUUCAGGGACUGCUUCUUUGUUUAUCGCCAAGUCAGACACAAAGAUUGUUACCACUUGUUUCAGUACACUAAAUAUGAAGCUCGCAGCCAGUUAUCUUAGCGCAGGUGAACAAAACAAGUAUUUUUCAGGUUAAACAUGACAUAAGGUGACCUGAACUUUAAAGGGGCUUCCAGGUAGAUUUCAUCAGAUGGAGCCAGGCCGGCUGUUUCCAGAUCUUAAAUCAGGUCGUCUUUCUUUGAGAGCAGUUAAAUCUGGGCCAACUGGUUUUAGUUGUAGAUUCAUGAAGAUGUUUCACUCCAUCAAGAGCUUCAGUCUAGACGGUUCACACACCUGGUUUGUUAGUGCUCAUUGUUGUUGAGACGACCGGCGUUCGAGUCAUGAUCUCUGGUGUGAACGCCGGUCGUCCUCGUCACCUGAGCUCCGGUUCGAAAGACGAGAGGGGCAUCGUGAAUAAGUACAUGUCCAAAAAUGUCAAAUGUUUCCUUUGAGCUGUGUUCCCACAUCAUUCACUUCCAGAAAAAGACACGUAGCAUAUCGCUAACUUUCACCGACACUGGUUCAGUUAAAGAAAUGAUCAAAACUAGUUUGAGGAACCGUUGUUGGGCUGCCAGUCCUGCUCCUUCACUGAAUAAACUAAUCAGGUAAAUCUAUUCUUGGAACAAUGACGACUGAAAUAAAGAUGUUUUAAUUUGUGUUAACAAA